GAUGAACGCUGGCGGCGUGCUUAACACGUGCAAGUCGAACGGAAAGGCCCAAGCUUGCUUGGGUACUCGAGUGGCGAACGGGUGAGUAACACGUGGGUGAUCUGCCCUGCACUUCGGGAUAAGCCUGGGAAACUGGGUCUAAUACCGGAUAGGACCACUUCUUGGAUGUUGUGGUGGAAAGUUUUUUCGGUGUGGGAUGAGCUCGCGGCCUAUCAGCUUGUUGGUGGGGUAAUGGCCUACCAAGGCGUCGACGGGUAGCCGGCCUGAGAGGGUGUACGGCCACAUUGGGACUGAGAUACGGCCCAGACUCCUACGGGAGGCAGCGGUGGGGAAUAUUGCACAAUGGGCGCAAGCCUGAUGCAGCGACGCCGCGUGGGGGAUGACGGCCUUCGGGUUGUAAACUCCUUUCGCUAGGGACGAAGCGUUUUGUGACGGUACCUGGAGAAGAAGCACCGGCUAACUACGUG
rnacentral:rRNA from 1 species